rnacentral:rRNA from 1 species
GAUGAACGCUAGCGGCAGGCUUAAUACAUGCAAGUCGAGGGGCAGCACGGUUAGCAAUAACUGGUGGCGACCGGCGCACGGGUGCGUAACACGUAUACAAUCUACCUUAAACAGGGGGAUAGCCUUUCGAAAGAGAGAUUAAUACCCCGUAAUAAAUUGAACGGCAUCGUUUGAUUUUGAAAGUUCCGACGGUAAGAGAUGAGUAUGCGUCUGAUUAGCUAGUAGGUGAGGUAACGGCUCACCUAGGCAACGAUCAGUAGGGGAUCUGAGAGGACUAACCCCCCACACGGAUACUGAGACACGGAUCCGACUCCUACGGGAGGCAGCAGUAAGGAAUAUUGGACAAUGCCCGCAAGGGUGAUCCAGCCAUGCCGCGUGCAGGAAGACGGCCCUAUGGGUUGUAAACUGCUUUUAUACAAGAGAAAACCCAUCUACGUGUAGAUGGCUGAUAGUAUUGUAGGAAUAAGCAUCGGCUAACUUCGUGCCAGCAGCCGCGGUAAU